GACGAACGCUGGCGGCGUGCCUAAUACAUGCAAGUCGAACGCAGUGGGGACGGGUGAGUAACAAGUGGGUAACCUGGCAUCAGAGGGGAGAACACUUGGAAACAGGUGCUAAACCGCUACUGAUGGAUGAACCCGCGGUGCAGUAGCUAGUUGGUGAGGUAACGGCUCACAAAGGCCACGAUGCAUAGACGACCGGAGAGGGUGAUCGGCCACACUGGGACUGAGACACGGCCCAGACUCCUACGGGAGGCAGCAGUAGGGAAUCUUCGGCAAUGGACGAAAGUCUGAUCGAGCAACGCCGCGUGAGUGAAGAAGGCUUUCGGAUCGUAAAACUCUUUUGUUAGAGAAGCGGUAUCUAACCAGAAAGCCACGGCUAACUACGUGCCAGCAGCCGCGGUAAUAC
rnacentral:rRNA from 1 species